AGUUAUGCUCAGAAAGCUACAGGGAAUUGCAAUUGUGUCCGAGGUCACAAUAAACCUGGCCGACGUGCCUUCGUACCUUACUAGACUCUGUGGUCAUUGGGGGUUCUCUUCGGGUCU